GACGAACGCUGGCGGCGUGCCUAAUACAUGCAAGUUGAGCGAUGAAGAUUGGUGCUUGCACCAAUUUGAAGAGCAGCGAACGGGUGAGUAACGCGUGGGGAAUCUGCCUUUGAGCGGGGGACAACAUUUGGAAGCGAAUGCUAAUACCGCAUAAUAACUUUAAACAUAAGUUUUAAGUUUGAAAGAUGCAAUUGCAUCACUCAAAGAUGAUCCCGCGUUGUAUUAGCUAGUUGGUGAGGUAAAGGCUCACCAAGGCGAUGAUACAUAGCCGACCUGAGAGGGUGAUCGGCCACAUUGGGACUGAGACACGGCCCAAACUCCUACGGGAGGCAGCAGUAGGGAAUCUUCGGCAAUGGACGAAAGUCUGACCGAGCAACGCCGCGUGAGUGAAGAAGGUUUUCGGAUCGUAAAACUCUGUUGGUAGAGAAGAACGUUGGUGAGAGUGGAAAGCUCAUCAAGUGACGGUAACUACCCAGAAAGGGACGGCUAACUACGUG
rnacentral:rRNA from 1 species